rnacentral:rRNA from 1 species
UGGGGAAUAUUGCACAAUGGGGGAAACCCUGAUGCAGCGACGCCGCGUGAACGAAGAAGGUAUUCGUAUCGUAAAGUUCUGUCCUAUGGGAAGAUAAUGACAGUACCAUAGAAGAAAGCUCCGGCUAAAUACGUGCCAGCAGCCGCGGUAAUACGUAUGGAGCGAGCGUUGUCCGGAAUUAUUGGGCGUAAAGGGUACGCAGGCGGUUUAAUAAGUCGAAUGUUAAAGAUCGGGGCUCAACCCCGCAAAGCAUUGGAAACUGAUAAACAUGAGUAGUGGAGAGGAAAGUGGAAUUCCUAGUGUAGUGAUGAAAUACGUAGAUAUUAGGAGGAAUACCAGUAGCGAAGGCGACUUUCUGGACACAAACUGACGCUGAGGUACGAAAGCGUGGGGAGCAAACAGG